rnacentral:rRNA from 1 species
AGUGAACGCUGGCGGCGUGCUUAACACAUGCAAGUCGAACGAGAACGGGUUAUAGCUUGCUAUAAUUGUCAGCUAAGUGGCGCACGGGUGAGUAAUGUAUAGGUAAUACGCCUCUUACUAAGGGAUAACAAAUGGAAACGUUUGCUAAUACCUUAUACUCCUUAUUAACAGAAGUUAAUAAGGGAAAGAUUUAUUGGUAAGAGAUUAGCCUGUAUUGUAUCAGUUAGUUGGUGGGGUAAUGGCUUACCAAGACUAUGACACAUAACUGGUUUGAGAGGAUGAUCAGUCACACUGGAACUGAGACACGGUCCAGACUCCUACGGGAGGCAGCAGUGGGGAAUAUUGCACAAUGGACGAAAGUCUGAUGCAGCAACGCCGCGUGGAGGAUGACACAUUUCGGUGCGUAAACUCCUUUUAUAUGAGAAGAUAAUGACGGUAUUAUAUGAAUAAGCACCGGCUAACUCCGUGCCAGCCGCCGCCGUAA